rnacentral:rRNA from 1 species
UACGUAGGGUGCGAGCGUUAAUCGGAAUUACUGGGCGUAAAGUGUGCGCAGGCGGCAGAGCAAGUCGAGUGUGAAAGCCCCGGGCUUAACUUGGGAAUUGCGCUCGAAACUACUUUGCUGGAGUGUGGCAGAGGAAGGUGGAAUUCCACGUGUAGCGGUGAAAUGCGUAGAUAUGCGGAGGAACACCGAUGGCGAAGGCAAUCCCCUGGGCCUGCACUGACGCUCAUGCACGAAAGCGUGGGGAGCGAACAGG